rnacentral:rRNA from 1 species
UACGAAGGGGGCUAGCGUUGUUCGGAAUUACUGGGCGUAAAGCGCACGUAGGCGGAUCGAUCAGUCAGGGGUGAAAUCCCAGGGCUCAACCCUGGAACUGCCUUUGAUACUGUCGAUCUGGAGUAUGGAAGAGGUGAGUGGAAUUCCGAGUGUAGAGGUGAAAUUCGUAGAUAUUCGGAGGAACACCAGUGGCGAAGGCGGCUCACUGGACCACAACUGACGCUGAGGCGCGAAAGCUAGGGGAGCAAACAGG